UACAGAGGAGCCAAGCGUUGUCCGGAUUGACUGGGCGUAAAGCGCACGCAGGCGGAUGCGCGCGUGGGGUGUGAAAUCUGGCCGCUUAACGGCCAGGCGCCACUCCAUACGGCGCGCGGAGUGAUGCAGAGUCGAUGGAAUUGCCGGUGUAGUGGUGAAAUGCGUAAGAGAUCGGCAGGAACACCCAGGGGGAAACCAGUCGACUGGGCAUCUACUG
rnacentral:rRNA from 1 species